ACUCUCUCUCUCUCUCUCUCUCUCUCUCUCUCUAUAUAUAUAUAUAGCUGGAAUAUUAUUGAUAGUAAAGGAAUAGUAUUUAUUACCCACUUUUUAUUCAUUAGCUAGAUGCCUAGGAUUUAGUGAGGUUAGGUGGAAUAGUAUUUCGAAUGGUUAUAAAGUUGAUAGUAAAUACUAUUCGUAUACUAUCAAUAUAUAUAUAUAUAGUUGAGCUAGAAUACUCUCAAAAGCACCAUGAAGGCGGUGCUUUUGAGUUUUUAGUCAUUAGAUGGAGAGAUGAGGUUGGGAUGAUGGUGGUAGGUGGUACGUGGUAGGUGGAAUAGUGUUUGAUCUAAAGGCUAUUAGUAAUCAAGGAGUAGAUCCAAGGGCUAGAAACUUAGAAGCACAAAGGGGUUGGUGCUUCUAAAAGUAUUUUAACUCAAUUAUAUAUAUAUAUAUAUAGUUGAGCUAGAAUACUAUUGAUAGCAAACGGGCUCCGUUGCCACCCAUUUGUUUUCGAUGAUAGAGCCUCAAAAUCGACGAUCGGCACCGUUGAACAUGAUCUAUACCACUUGAAGUAUUUAGAAAUCAAAUUUCAUACAUUUUCGAUAUUGUUCUCUUAUCCAUCGAGUGGAUACAAAAAUGAACAGCUGAAAAUGAA
rnacentral:lncRNA from 1 species